rnacentral:rRNA from 1 species
CCUACGGGUGGCAGCAGUGAGGAAUAUUGGUCAAUGGACGAGAGUCUGAACCAGCCAAGUAGCGUGAAGGAUGACUGCCCUAUGGGUUGUAAACUUCUUUUAUAUGGGAAUAAAAUGUUCCACGUGUGGGAUUUUGUAUGUACCAUAUGAAUAAGGAUCGGCUAACUCCGUGCCAGCAGCCGCGGUAAUACGGAGGAUCCGAGCGUUAUCCGGAUUUAUUGGGUUUAAAGGGCGCGUAGGUGGAUUGUUAAGUCAGUUGUGAAAGUUUGCGGCUCAACCGUAAAAUUGCAGUUGAAACUGGCAGUCGUGAGUACAGUAGAGGCGGGCGGAAGUCGUGGUGUAGCGGUGAAAUGCUUAGAUAUCACGAAGAACUCCGAUUGCGAAGGCAGCUCACUGGACUGCAACUGACACUGAGGCUCGAAAGUGUGGGUAUCAAACAGGAUUAGAUACCCUUGUAGUC